rfam:Gossypium hirsutum cultivar TM-1 unplaced genomic scaffold scaffold2235.1, whole genome shotgun sequence
CCUGGGGGAGUGCUUUGUCCAUGUUAGCAAAAAACGCGUCUUUGAGGGAGCGCUUUGCUGACAUGGACAAAACGCUCCCCCAGGG